CGUGACGGUAUUAAAGGAGGCGAUGGGGGCGGGGGGAAAGGGCGAGGAGAGGGAAGUGAAGAGCGACGGAGGCCGGUGGGAAGACUGGUGCCGGAAAUGGUGGGGUGGGUGGGCCCCUACGGGGAGGGGCGGGGCUACCAACUUGGUGGGCGGAGCCGAACAGGAGACGCGCGACUUUAGGCCUGGUUUUCAGGCGGGCCCUUGGCAACGCCGAGAGAGCUGCUCGGGGCGAGCGUACAGGUCGGCGUUCGAGAUCCGUCUGUCACAGUGGUGGACGGGCGCUCGCUCGCCUUGCACGCGAGCCGGGUCUGCUUGGAGCCCCAAAGCCUCUCCCUAGAAACAAUAGGGAAAUAAUGUGGCUGUUCGCUCUGCUUCCCGAGCUCCCGGCAGAACGGCAUGGGGCACCUGCUCGCGGAAGAGUGGUUCCCGUGGCGCCGGCCUGGUAUCGCUUGAACACAACCAUGCUUUUAGAAGCGGGCUACCGAGCGAACGUGGACUUAACCAGUGAGCAGAAAUGUAUGUGCUGCAAUUAACGCGAGUGUAACGGAAAGCUCGCGCUACCGCGUUUUUGUUGGUCGCAGGGAAGGAGUAUGCUUGCAAACGUCUGAGUCUUCCGUCCGCAGCCGCGUGCUUUAUUUCACUGUGCCGGGAGGUUUUCUUCGCAGCCGCAGAGGUGUGUAUGUAUCGAAAAAACAUAAGAUACAGAGAGUUUGGUACUGUCUUCAGUUUCGGGCAGCCACUGUGUGUUUUGGAACAUAUGCCCUGCAGAUAGGGGGGACUACUGUAUAGCGGUAUUCAAAUAUUAUUCCAUCUUCGUCAGUUUUGCUUUUGCUCAUUGUAAAGGGACAGAGAGUGACUCCAUCCAGCCAUCAUGCCACCUGCCCUGGUGGGACACCAGCUGUGAGAAAGGUUUGUGCACCUAGGACGGCAUCUGGAGAAUUGCCUCACUCCAUGUCAUCAUCCCACCUGGUCCACGGGCGUGCACCUACUUUUGUCUGUGCCCUCUAAUUCCCACAUGGACCUGUCUCUCCACCCUGCCCCACUUUUCUAGCUGUUGAAACAAAAGACCAAAUAGAAACAAGAAGAGGGGGAGAGGAACACAAACAACACACAAAAUGUGCUUGCUCUAACACUUUCUUAUAGGCAAUUUGCUGUUGACGUCAACAUCUGAGGACACCACAGUUCUUUCACAUGGUACCACUGAUACGGGUUUUUAAAAAAAAUAUAUCUUAUUUAUUUGUCAGAGAGAGAAGAGCAUGAGUACAAGCAAGGGGAGCAGCAGAGGGAGAAGGAGAAGCAUGCUCCCUGCUUAGCAAGGAGCCCGAUGUGGGACUCCAUCCCAGGCAGACGCUCAACCAACUGAGCCACCCAGGCGUCCCCUGAUACGGAUUCUGAUAGUAUGUCAGAAAAUGAAGCCCACAACUCUUAACCACGAUGCUAUUGUUUGAAGAGAGGUUGAUCUUUUAGCUGGAGUCCCAGAAGAAUAGCUCUUACUCCAAGCUUCCCCAAAAUUUCUGCAUAAUCUCUACUAAUUGUUGUUGCCACUCCAGAUCAUUGGAGUUAAACUUCUACCAUAAUUUCUGUGUGCUUAUUUUUCAACCGACCUAUGUUUCCAAUUUUGAGGGCAUCGGCUAGAAGUAAAUGUGUGUUAGGCCUCUUUAUUUGCUUGCGUUUUCCAUUUAUAAAAUCAGUAUAAUAAAGUUUACAUCUGUUCUAUUCCACGGACAUCUUCAAUAUUAUAAGAUACUUUAAGUUACCAAUAUUGUGCCUUAAAAAAAUCCAGUCUGCCAGUUUUUACCAUAUCCUGUUAUUUUCUGGGAUUUGGGAAUUCAGAAUGUUAAACUUCGAACAUAUUUAAAAAACAAGCAGCAUAAGCAAAACAGACUCAGUCCGACCUAUAUGUCUGAUGGUAGGAUGGAAAAAAUUGGUACCAUGUUUGUAUGAUGGUCAGAAGCAAAGACUUUUAGGAGGCUGAAACAACACGGUUUCAAAGUCUGUCUUGACUAUAUAGAGAUUGUUUGGCUUUGAGCAAGUUUCUCUCUGAGCUUAAAUUUUGAAAAGGGGAUAAGAAAAAAGUGUUUUCAUAAACAUUAAACUAUGUACCCACAUAUGUAUGUAAAUGCACAUGUAUUUAUAUGUAUAUAUGUGGUUGAAUUGUUAUAAUAUUGACACAUACAUACACAACCAUAUACAUAUGAGCAUUAAGCAUUGUGUGUAACCCAUAGUAACCAAUUAAAACAGUAUCUGUUGUUCUUUUUAUUAUCAUCUGCUAGCUUAAAGAAGGCUUCCAUAAUAGGAACAUAUUUACAUAUACUCUUAUAUACUGAUAAAAUAUACUUCUACCUCCUCCCCAAGUGAAAAGACAUCAUAUAUCUAUAUUAUUUGCUUAUAAUGGCAGCACGGGAAGCAAUCACGUUUUUUGGAAUUAAAGUUGAAGCAUAAACAUUCUCCUGUGAUAAAAGAUGGCUCAUUAUAUGGGUAAUAGAAGGAUGUCCAAUGGUAAACUAUUUAUAUAAUUAUUGGUGUCGUGCAAAAUCACAAAAAAAGAUCUUAUAUUUGUAUGUAAUUAAUCACAAACUAUUUUGUUCUAUUGCUUCUAAUUUGGUUUUAAACUACUAUUUAAGUUGGGGCACCUGGCCUACCUGGCCUACUUCUGGUCAUAAGUUCGAGCCUCCUAUUGGGGGUAGAGAUUACUUAAAAAAAUUAUAAUAAAAAAAUAAGUUACUAUUUAAA